GACGAACGCUGGCGGCGUGCUUAACACAUGCAAGUCGAACGGAAAGGCCCUGCUUUUGCGGGGUGCUCGAGUGGCGAACGGGGGAGUAACACGUGAGUAACCUGCCCCUGACUUUGGGAUAAAUUCAGGAAACUGGGGAUAAUACCGGAUAGGAGCUCCUGCUGCAUGGUGGGGGUUGGUAAGUUUCGGCGGUUGGGGAUUGGCUCGCGGCUUAUCAGCUGGUUGGGGGGGUAGUGGCUUACCAAGGCUUUGACGGGUAGCCGGCCUGAGAGGGUGACCGGGCACAAUACGACUGAGGUACGGCCCAGACGGGAAUGGGACGCAACGGUGGAGAGUAUGACACAGUAGGCCGGAGCCAGAUGUGACAGCGCCGCGUGCGGGAAGAGGUGCUUCGGGUUGUGAACAAAUGUCGACUGAACCGAGGCGUGAGUGACGGUACCGGGUAAAGAAGCACCGGCUAACUACGUG
rnacentral:rRNA from 1 species